CCUACGGGUGGCAGCAGUGGGGAAUAUUGGGCAAUGGGCGCAAGCCUGACCCAGCAACGCCGCGUGAAGGAAGACGGCUUUCGGGUUGUAAACUUCUUUUAUCAGGGACGAAGCAAGUGACGGUACCUGAUGAAUAAGCCACGGCUAACUACGUGCCAGCAGCCGCGGUAAUACGUAGGGGGCAAGCGUUAUCCGGAUUUACUGGGUGUAAAGGGAGUGUAGGCGGGAGUGCAAGUCAGAUGUGAAAACUAUGGGCUCAACCCAUAUCCUGCAUUUGCAACUGUACUUCUUGAGUGCUGGAGAGGUAAUCGGAAUUCGGUGUGUAGCGGUGAAAUGCUUAGAUAUAAGGAGGAACACCAGUGGCGAAGGCAGCAUACGGGACUGUAACUGACGUUGAGGCUCGAAAGCGUGGGGAGCAAACAGGAUUAGAUACCCCAGUAGUC
rnacentral:rRNA from 1 species